CCAGCUGCAGCAUAAACUUAUACCAAAAUUGAUCAAAGAAUUAACAAUAAUGUACACUGAAUAUUUUCCUUAUGAUCAUUCAAUCAAUCAAAUCUGAGAAUCUAUGAUCUCAGUUAUUGAGCCUACAUGUUUAUGCUUUGAUUUGUUAUUGCUCCAGGGAGAAAGGUUGUAGAUACACCGACUCUACAAUUCAUUAAUGUAGCAGGAAGAAAGACGUGGAUACACGAAGCCAUUCUCAUGAGACUUGAAGGUAUUAGGUCAUAUAUCCUCCUGGAAAUCUCGUGAGACAGAAGAAAUCCCGACUCUACAAAACUGAAAUCUUCGUUAUUUAUGAAGAGCACUUUGGUUAAACGAAAACAAUUGAAUUAAACCAAGAAAAAACACACAAGUCUUUAUUUACGACAACAAAAGCUUAAUCUGUGUCAAACUUCCAAUUCACAAUGAUCAAGAAAUCAAACAUAUUGUUUAUUAAUGGACCAAAGUAUGACCCAUAAAUUCUUUCCUACGAGACAUUCUAGAGGGAUGAGCAUAUCUAGCUGAAAAUGACCUACAAAGAUUAUCAGGCUCUACUUUUUCUGACCCUUGAUCAAAAUUCUGCACAACCAGAAGAAGAAGAAGAAGUAGUAUUAUUAUUGAAGCUUUUUUUCUUGUGCACUUUGAGUCUCCUCCAAAAAGCUAGCCACCUUGGUGAUGAAGAAGAAGAAGCACAUGAUGAUUGUAAUCUUUCCCAAGCCUAACACUUUUGCUCCAAUUCCCUUUCCCAAUUAUCCUCAUUUUUUCCUCAAUAGCUUUGAGAUUUGCAUAUAAUUCAACAAAUCUAUGGCCUUUUAUAGAUAUUGGCUACUUUUGAGACUCUCAUGGGAUGUUGAUUCCCUUUGCCCUUUGAUUAGACAAAAGCAAAUUAAACUAGUGGUGUGGAAGCAUUCUUUAAAGAUAAUUAACAGUUA
rnacentral:lncRNA from 1 species